rnacentral:piRNA from 1 species
UAAUGCUUCAAAGGAUGGUUAUCAUUU